UACAGAGGGUGCGAGCGUUGUCCGGAAUCACUGGGCGUAAAGGGUGCGUAGGCGGGUCUUUAAGUCAGAGGUGAAAUCCUGGAGCUCAACUCCAGAACUGCCUUUGAUACUGAGGAUCUUGAGUCCGGGAGAGGUGAGUGGAACUGCGAGUGUAGAGGUGAAAUUCGUAGAUAUUCGCAAGAACACCAGUGGCGAAGGCGGCUCACUGGCCCGGUACUGACGCUGAGGCACGAAAGCGUGGGGAGCAAACAGG
rnacentral:rRNA from 1 species